rnacentral:rRNA from 1 species
GACGAACCGAGCGAACGUUGUUCGGAAUCACUGGGCUUAAAGGGCGCGUAGGCGGGCUGUCAAGUCUGGGGUGAAAUCCCGCGGCUCAACCGUGGAACUGCUCGGUAUACUGCCUGUCUUGUGCAACCUAGGGGCGAGCGGAACAGAUGGUGGAGCGGUGAAAUGCGUAGAUAUCAUCUGGAACGCCAAUGGUGAAAACAGCUCGCUGGGGGUUUGCAGACGCUGAGACACGAAAGCCAGGGGAGCGAACGGG